rnacentral:rRNA from 1 species
AUUGAACGCUGGCGGCAUGCCUUACACAUGCAAGUCGAACGGCAGCACGGGGCAACCUGGUGGCGAGUGGCGAACGGGUGAGUAAUGCAUCGGAACGUACCUUUCAGUGGGGGAUAACGUAGCGAAAGUUACGCUAAUACCGCAUAUUCUGUGAGCAGGAAAGCAGGGGAUCGCAAGACCUUGCGCUGAUUGAGGUGGCGAUGUCAGAUUAGCUAGUUGGUGAGGUAAAGGCUCACCAAGGCGACGAUCUGUAGCGGGUCUGAGAGGAUGAUCCGCCACACUGGAACUGAGACACGGUACAGACUCCUACGGGAGGCAGCAGUGGGGAAUUUUGGACAAUGGGGGCAACCCUGAUCCAGCCAUGCCGCGUGAGUGAAGAAGGCCUUCGGGUUGUAAAGCUCUUUCGGCCGGGAAGAAAUCGCACGGGCUAAUACCCUGUGUGGAUGACGGUACCGGAAUAAGAAGCACCGGCUAACUACGUGCCAGCAGCCGCAGUAACAC